UACGAAGGGGGCUAGCGUUGCUCGGAAUCACUGGGCGUAAAGCGCACGUAGGCGGAUUGCUAAGUCAGGGGUGAAAUCCCGAGGCUCAACCUCGGAACUGCCUUUGAUACUGGGGAUAUCGAGUCCGGGAGAGGUGAGUGGAACUGCGAGUGUAGAGGUGAAAUUCGUAGAUAUUCGCAAGAACACCAGUGGCGAAGGCGGCUCACUGGCCCGGUACUGACGCUGAGGUGCGAAAGCGUGGGGAGCAAACAGG
rnacentral:rRNA from 1 species